CCUACGGGAGGCAGCAGUGGGGAAUAUUGGACAAUGGGCGAAAGCCUGAUCCAGCAAUUCCGCGUGUGUGAAGAAGGCCUUCGGGUUGUAAAGCACUUUAGUGGGGGAAGAAACAGCUUGGCCACACCAAGCCUUGACGGUACCCCAAGAAUAAGCACCGGCUAACUCUGUGCCAGCAGCCGCGGUAAUACAGAGGGUGCAAGCGUUAAUCGGAUUUACUGGGCGUAAAGGGUGCGUAGGUGGCUAUUUAAGUCGGAUGUGAAAGCCCGGGGCUCAACCUCGGAAUUGCAUUCGAUACUGAGUGGCUAGAGUUCGGUAGAGGGCGGCGGAAUUUCCGGUGUAGCGGUGAAAUGCGUAGAUAUCGGAAGGAACAUCAAUGGCGAAGGCAGCCGCCUGGGCCUGGACUGACACUGAGGCACGAAAGCGUGGGUAGCAAACAGGAUUAGAUACCCUGGUAGUCCACGCCGUAAACGAUGAGAACUUGACGUUGGUUCGUUUUACGAAUCGGUGUCGCNGCUACGACGAUAAGUUACUCCGUCCGUCGGGUAGGUACGGCCGCGAGGUUAGUAACGUACGAACGGAAAGUUAGACGGCGUGAGACGUGCCGACGGACGACGACCGAGGGAGGUAGG
rnacentral:rRNA from 1 species